GAUGAACGCUGGCGGCGUGCCUAAUACAUGCAAGUCGAGCGAACGGACGAGAAGCUUGCUUCUCUGAUGUUAGCGGCGGACGGGUGAGUAACACGUGGAUAACCUACCUAUAAGACUGGGAUAACUUCGGGAAACCGUAGCUAAUACCGGAUAAUAUUUUGAACCGCAUGGUUCAAAAGUGAAAGACGGUCUUGCUGUCACUUAUAGAUGGAUCCGCGCUGCACUAGCUAGUUGGUAAGGUAACGGCUUACCAAGGCAACGAUGCAUAGCCGACCUGAGAGGGUGAUCGGCCACACUGGAACUGAGACACGGUCCAGACUCCUACGGGAGGCAGCAGUAGGGAAGCUUCCGCAAUGGGCGAAAGCCUGACGGAGCAACGCCGCGUGAGUGAUGAAGGUCUUCGGAUCGUAAAACUCUGUUAUUAGGGAAGAACAUAUGUGUAAGUAACUGUGCACAUCUUGACGGUACCUAAUCAGAAAGCCACGGCUAACUACGUG
rnacentral:rRNA from 1 species